rnacentral:lncRNA from 1 species
GAGAUGAACUCAGAGGCAUCACGUGCGUCAUCCAACAGCCGCUGAAUGUCGGCCUCCGAUGUCACGUGACGAUUCUCCUCGAACUUAUUUCUGACCUCGGCGGCGGAUUUUUGGAGCAUGAAACCGUCGCCGGCGAAGGUUUUCCGAGUGGCCUUCAGCACUGAUCUAUAGGCUCGAAGUGCUUCUACUGCUCUCCCGCUCGCCAUUCCUCUCUCCGUUGUUUCAAUGAGCUUAAUUGAUAACCCCGAGACUAUAAUUUCUCCUUGAAAUAGAGAAAUGUCUAUAUAUAAGAGAUUUAAUCUAUAUGAAUUGCUAGUGUAAAUCUUUUAACAUCAAAAUUUUCAGGAUGUUAUAAAUAGAAGAUUCUUACACUUCUAUUUAAGGUGAAUGUCUUUAAUGUAUUUCGCGGAAUUUUGGAGCAUCAAACCGUCGCCGGCGAAGGUUUUCCGAGUGGCCUUCAGCACUGAUCUGUAGGCUCGAAGUGCUUCUACUGCUCUCCCGCCCGCCAUUUUCCUCUCUCCGUUGUCUCAAUGAGCUUAAUUAAUAACCCCGCGACUAUAAUUUCUCCCUGAAUUAGAGAAAUGUUUAUGUAGAAGAGAUUAAUUUAUAUGAAUUGAUAGUGUAAAUCUUUUAACAUAAAAUUCUUUAGGACGUUAUUUAUCAAUUAUUUAUAUUAUAUCAAUGUAAUUAUUAAAUUAAGUGAUUUAUCUUUACUCUUUAAGUGAUGUGAUCAUGUAAAUAUUUCAGUU